CAACAUUCCUGUCAGUCAGAUCCCAAAAAUCACCUUCUAGAAUCCAAGGGCAGAGGCCAGACAUCUCUUUGGGUAAGGUUAAUUCUUCACUACACAAUUCUUAAUACAAAAAAUUGCAUUUCAUUAUUUUUAAAAAAGAUUUAUUUUAGUGGUGUCGGUGAGUAGAGGCUUGGAGAUGGGCAAGUUCAUGAAACCCGGGAAAGUGGUGCUGGUCCUGGCCAGAUGCUACUCCGGACGCAAAGCAGUCAUGGUGAAGAACAUUGAUGAUGGCACUUCAGACCGUCCCUACAGCCAUGCUCUGGUGGCUGGAAUUGACCACUAUCCCCGCAAAGUGACAGCUGCCAUGGGCAAGAAGAAAAUUGCCAAGAGGUCAAAGAUCAAGUCUUUUGUGAAAGUUUAUAACUACAAUCACCUCAUGCCCACAAGGUGCUCUGUGGAUAUCCCCUUGGAUAAAACUGUCAUCAACAAGGAUGUCUUCAGAGACCCUGCUCUUAAACGCAAGGCCCGAGAGGCCAAGGUCAAGUUCGAGGAGAGGUACAAGACCGACAAGAAAAAGUGGUUCUUCCAGAAGCUGCGGUUUUAGAUGUUCUGUUUUCAGUCAUUAAAAAUACCAAAAACAC